GACGAACGCUGGCGGCGUGCUUAACACAUGCAAGUCGAACGGAAAGGCCCUGCGUUUGUUGGGUUCUCGAGUGGCGAACGGGUGAGUGACACGUGUGUAUCCUGCCCUUGUCUUUGUGAUAACUUCACGGAACUGGGGCUAUUACCGCAGAGGAGCUCCUGCUGCACGGUGGUGGUUGGUAAGUUUCGGCGGUUGGGGAUGGACUCGCGGCUUAUCAGCUUGUUGGUGGGGUAGUUGCUGACCAAGGCUUUGAAGGGUAGCCCGCAUGAGAGGGUGAACGGCGACAAGGCGCCUGAGGGACGGAGCAGAAGGCUAUGGGACGCAGUAGGGGGGAAUAUUGCACAAUGAGCCCAAGCCUGAGGCAGCAGCGUUGCGUGCGGGAUGCCGGGCUACGGGGGGUAAACAGAUGUGGACUGAGACGAAGCGUUAUUGACGGUACCGGGUCAGGAAGCAACGGCUAACUACGUG
rnacentral:rRNA from 1 species